rnacentral:rRNA from 1 species
GAGUUUGAUCCUGGCUCAGAUUGAACGCUGGCGGCAUGCCUUACACAUGCAAGUCGAACGGCAGCACGGGAGCUUGCUCCUGGUGGCGAGUGGCGAACGGGUGAGUAAUGCAUCGGAACGUAUCCUGGAGUGGGGGAUAACGUAGCGAAAGUUACGCUAAUACCGCAUAUUCUGUGAGCAGGAAAGCGGGGGACCUUCGGGCCUCGCGCUCUUGGAGCGGCCGAUGUCGGAUUAGCUAGUUGGUGAGGUAAAGGCUCACCAAGGCGACGAUCCGUAGCAGGUCUGAGAGGAUGAUCUGCCACACUGGAACUGAGACACGGUCCAGACUCCUACGGGAGGCAGCAGUGGGGAAUUUUGGACAAUGGGGGCAACCCUGAUCCAGCCAUGCCGCGUGAGUGAAGAAGGCCUCGGUUGUAAGACUCUUCGUCGAGGGAGGAAAGUUAGCACCGGACGAAUACCUAGGUGUAGAUGACGGUACCGUUCGUAUAAGAAGACGACCGG